rnacentral:rRNA from 1 species
GCGCGAAAACUUUACAAUGCCGGCAACGGCGAUAAGGGGACCUUGAGUGCCAGGAUACAAUCUUGGCUGUCGUCGUGUCUAAAAAACACGAUAUAGCAAGGGCCGGGCAAGACCGGUGCCAGCCGCCGCGGUAACACCGGCGGCUCGAGUGGUAACCGCUAUUAUUGGGUCUAAAGGGUCUGUAGCCGGCUUGGUAAGUCUCUUGGGAAAUCCGGCAGCUUAACUGUCGGGCUGUCAGGAGAUACUGCCAGGCUCGAGGCCGGGAGAGGUGAGAGGUACCUCAUGGGUAGGGGUGAAAUCUUGUAAUCCUUGAGGGACCACCAGUGGCGAAGGCGUCUCACCAGAACGGACCUGACGGCAAGGGACGAAAGCUAGGGGCACGAACCGG